UACGUAGGCAGCAAGCGUUGUUCGGAAUUACUGGGCGUAAAGAGUGUGUAGGCGGUGCUCUAAGUUCGGUGUGAAAUCUCCCGGCUCAACUGGGAGGGUGCGCCGGAAACUGGAGUGCUCGAGUAUGGGAGAGGUAAGCGGAAUUCCUGGUGUAGCGGUGAAAUGCGUAGAUAUCAGGAGGAACACCUGUGGUGUAGACAGCUUACUGGACCAUCACUGACGCUGAGACACGAAAGCGUGGGUAGUAAACGGG
rnacentral:rRNA from 1 species